rnacentral:rRNA from 1 species
GAUGAACGCUGGCGGUAUGCUUAACACAUGCAAGUCGAACGGACUCUUCGGAGUUAGUGGCGGACGGGUGAGUAACGCGUGAGAAUCUGGCUUUGGGUUCGGGACAACCACUGGAAACGGUGGCUAAUACCGGAUGUGCCGAGAGGUAAAAGAGAAAUUGCCUGAAGAUGAGCUCGCGUCUGAUUAGCUAGUUGGUGAGGUAAAGGCUCACCAAGGCAGCGAUCAGUAGCUGGUCUGAGAGGAUGACCAGCCACACUGGGACUGAGACACGGCCCAGACGACUACGGGAGGCAGCAGGGGGGAAUUGUCCGCACUGGGCGAGUGCCUGACGGAGCCAUACCGCGUGAGGGAAGAAGGCUCUUGGGUUGUAAACCUCUUUUCUUAGGGAAGAACAAAAUGACGGUACCUAAGGAAUCAGCAUCGGCUAACUCCGUG